rnacentral:rRNA from 1 species
AGUUGAUCAUGGCUCGAUUGAACGCUGGCGGGAUGCCUUCAUACAUGCAAGUCAACGGCAGCACGGACUUCGGUCUGUGGCGAGUAUGAAUGUGCAGUGCAAUGUAUCGGAACGUGCCUAGUAGGGCGGGGGAUAACUACGUUAGCAGUAGCUACUACCGCAUACGCUCCUUCGGGGAAAGCGGGGGACCUUCGGGCCUUCGCACUAGAGCGGCUGAUAUCGGAUUAGCUAGUUGGUGGGGUAACGGCUCACCAAGGCGACGAUCCGUAGAGGGCUGGUUUGAGAGGUAAUGACCAGCCACACUGCACCGAGACACGGCCCAGACUUACGGAGCAGCAGUGGGGAAUUUGGACAAUGGGGGAAACUCCCGAUCCGCUUCAUCCAAGCGUGUGCGAUGAAGGCCUCGGGUUGUAAAGCACUUUUGGCAGUGAAAGGUGUCGGCACGGGAUAAUACCCCGUGCAACUGACGGUACCUGUAAUAAGCACUAUGAAUUACGUGCCAGCAGCCGCGGUAAUACGUAGGGUGCAAGCGUUAAUCGGAAUUACUGGGCGUAGCGUAAAAGAAAGGUUCGGAAAGAAAGAUGUGAAAUCCCAGAGCUUAACUUUUGAAACCGUUGCAUUUUUAACUACUUCUGACGGGGAGGUGUCAGAGGAGGUGGAAUUCCGCGUGUAGCAGGAAUGUAGAUAUGCGAGAACACCGAUGGCGGAAGCCAAAACUUCCCUACAACACUGACGCUCAUGCACGAAAGCGUGGGGAGCAACAGGAUUAGAUACCUGGUAGUCCACGCCCUAAACGAUGUCAACUAGCUGUUGGGCCUUCGGCCUUGGCAGCGUUUAACGCGUGAAGUUGACCGCCUGGGGAGUACGGUCGCAAGAUUAAAACUCAAAGGAAUUGACGGGGACCCGCACAAGCGGUGGAUGAUGUGGAUUAAUUGAUGCAACGCGAAACCCACGUACCCUUGAUAUGUCUGGAAUCCCGAAGAGAUUUUGGGGAGGUGCUCGCAAGAGAACCGGAACACAGGUGCUGCAUGGCUGUCGUCAGCCUGUGUCGAGAUGUUGGGUUAAGUCCUGCAACGAGCGCAACCUUUGUCAUUAGUUGCUACGAAAGCGGCACUCUAUCGAGACUGCUGGUGACAACCGAGAAGUUGUAAUGACGUCAAGUCCUCGCCACGUCUUGCAGGUAGGGCUUCACACGUCAUACAAUGGUCGGGACAGAGGGUCGCCAACCCGCGAGGGGGUUAAUCCAGAAACUGAUCGGGGUCCGGAUCGCGCAGUCUGCAACCCGGACCGGUGGAAAGUCGAACUGCCAGCAAUCGCGGAUCAGCAUGUCGGUGGUGAAUACGUCUUCGGUCUUGUACACACCGCCCGUCACACCAUGGGAGUGGGUUUUACCAGAAGUAGUUAGCCUUAACCGUAAGGAGUGGCGAUUACCACGGUAGGAUUCAUGACUAAAGUCAACAAGGUAGCUCUGUUGAUGCCCAUGCCCGCAGGGCUAGUCAAGGCAACUGGAAUGGAAGUACAAU